UACGGAGGGUGCGAACGUUAAUCGGAAUCACUGGGCGUAAAGCGCGCGUAGGCGGUUUGUUAAGUGGGAUGUGAAAUCCCCGGGCUUAACCUGGGAAUUGCAUUUCAAACUGGCCGACUAGAGUACGGUAGAGGGAGGUAGAAUUUCCUGUGUAGCGGUGAAAUGCGUAGAUAUAGGAAGGAAUACCUGUGGCGAAGGCGGCCUCCUGGAUCGAUACUGACGCUGAGGCGCGAAAGCGUGGGGAGCAAACAGG
rnacentral:rRNA from 1 species